GGGGAUGUAAAGGUUUCGACGGGGGCUGUAAGCAUCGGUAAGCGAGCAGCGGGGCGGGACCGCUUUACGAAUCCGCACCUUUAAAUUUAGAUGAGAAAUCUUCUAAGAACGACAGCAAGAUCGUAAACGUUAACUUCAACAAUUACGGGAUGGCUGUUGCAGCUUAAAAAUAAGCUGCCAUCCACACGGUGAGUACCGCGGCGCCGUGCUGGGUGUAACCCCAGCGGUGAACGUGAACCGGGCGACGCCUUUAACCCGGUCAUGACCCAAAGGCUCCCUGCCGGGUAAGCCCGCCUGCGGGCGCACCGGGCAGGUAAAUAGAAAACGCAGGAUACGCUCGUAGAAAGCCUGUGUAAGCGGCUUUCGGACAGGGGUUCGAUUCCCCUCAUCUCCACCA
rnacentral:sRNA from 1 species